CUGGGCUCGAAAUGUAGUGGAAUCCGGCAGAAACGUCGGCGUCUAGCAAUAGACCGCUAUAUAGGUGCUGCAUGGCUGUCGUCAGCUCGUGUCGUGAGAUGUUGGGUUAAGUCCCGCAACGAGCGCAACCCUUAUCUUCAGUUGCUACCAUUUAGUUGAGCACUCUGACGAAACCGCCUCGGAUAACGGGGAGGAAGGUGGGGAUGACGUCAAGUCCUCAUGGCCUUUAUGUCCAGGGCUACACACGUGCUACAAUGGCCGGUACAAACCGCUGCAACCCCGCGAGGGUGAGCUAAUCGGAAAAAGCCGGCCUCAGUUCGGAUUGGAGUCUGCAACUCGACUCCAUGAAGCUGGAAUCGCUAGUAAUCGUGGAUCAGCAUGCCACGGUGAAUACGUUCCC
rnacentral:rRNA from 1 species